rnacentral:rRNA from 1 species
UACGAGGGGGGCAAAUGUUGUUCGGAAUCACUGGGCGUAAAGGGCGCGUAGGCGGGGAGGUAAGUCGGGUGUGAAAUCCCUCGGCCCAACCGAGGAACUGCGCCCGAGACUGCUUCUCUUGAGUCCCGGAGAGGAAGGUGGAAUUCCCGGUGUAGCGGUGAAAUGCGUAGAGAUCCGGAGGAACCCCAGAGGCGAAGGCGGCGUCCUGGCUCGCAUCUGACGCUCAGACACGACAGCAUGGGGAGCGAACAGG